GUUGUUGCAGUUAGAACGCUCGUAGUCGGAUUUCGGGGCGGGCCGACCGGUCUGCCGAUGGGUACGCACUGGUCGGCGCGUCCUUCCUUCCGGAGACCGUGCCUACUCUUAACUGAGCGGGGGCGGGAGACGGAACGUUUACUUUGAAAAAAUCAGAGUGUUUCAAGCAGGCAGCUCGCUCUUGCAUGGAUUAGCAUGGGAUAAUGAAAUAGGACUUUGGUGCUAUUUUGUUGGUUUCGAACACCGAAGUAAUGAUGAGAAGGGACAGUCAGGGGCACUCGUAUUCCGCCGAGAGAGGUGAAAUUCUCAGACCAGCGGAAGACGAACCACUGCGAAAGCAUUUGCCAGGGAUGUUUUCACUGAUCAAGAACGAAAGUUAGGGGAUCGAAGACGAUCAGAUACCGUCGUAGUCUUAACCAUAAACCAUACCGACUAGGGAUUGGGGGAUGUUCACUGAUUGACUCCCUCAGCACCUUACGGGAAACUAAAGUCUUUGGGUUCCGGGGGGAGUAUGGUCGCAAGGCUGAAACUUAAAGGAAUUGACGGAAGGGCACCACCAGGUGUGGAGCCUGCGGCUUAAUUUGACUCAACACGGGGAAACUUACCAGGUCCAGACAUUGUGAGGAUUGACAGAUUGAGAGCUCUUUCUUGAUUCGAUGGGUGGUGGUGCAUGGCCGUUCUUAGUUGGUGGAGUGAUUUGUCUGGUUUAUUCCGUUAACGAACGAGACCUUAGCCUGCUAAAUAGCGACGCGAACACUUCGUUCGUGGGCCGCUUC
rnacentral:rRNA from 1 species